rnacentral:rRNA from 1 species
GAACUAGCGGGGCACCGGGCGGGGGAUUGCGUGGGGGAGAAGCUUGGUGCGGAUUUAGGGGGAGGAAGGCGCGCGUAGGCGGCACUGCAAGUCACUUGUGAAAGCUCCGGGCUGAACCCGGUGGGGGCGAAGUGAUACUGCAGGGCUAGAGUGCGGAAGAGGCAGCUGGAAUUCGCGGUGUAGCGGUGAAAUGCGUAGAUAUCGAGAGGAACACCGGUGGCGAAGGCGGGCUGCUGGGCCGACACUGACGCUGAGGCGCGAAAGCUAGGGGAGCAAACAGGAUUAGAUACCCUAGUAGUC